CCGGCAAAGGUAGGCCAAGGGGGGCGGGCUGGACGCCUGGCAGAUCCCGUGGCUCUCGCGGCAGCCCGGCACGCACGCCGUGGUGGGGGUGGCCACUGCGCGCGCACCGCUGCACUCGGUGGGCUACACGGCGCUGGUGGGUAGCGACGCCGAGUCGUGGGGCUGGGACCCUGGGCCGCAGCCGCCUCUACCAUGACGGCAAGAACCCGGCCUGGCGUCGCCUACCCGGCCUUUCUGGGGCCGGACGAGGCCUUCGCGUUGCCAGACUCGCUGCUCGUCGUGCUGGACAUGGAUGAGGGCACGCUCAGCUUCAUCGUGGACGGCCAGACCUGGGCGUGGCCUUUUGUGGCCUCAAGGGCAAGAAGCUGUACCCUGUGGUGAGCGCCGUGUGGGGUCACUGCGAAUUCACCAUGCGCUACAUCAACGGCCUGGACCCCGAGCCCCUGCCGCUGAUGGACCUGUGCCGGAGAUCCAUCCGCUCUGCCCUGGGCCGCCCGCGCCUGCGGGACAUCAGCUCCCUGCCCCUGCCUCAGUCUCUCAAAAACUACCUGCAGUACCAGUGAGCCACGGCCCGACCCUCGCGGUCACACGGUGCAUUCAGGAAGGGCUGUCCCAGGACUUCAGUUCUCUGAGAGGCCGCGGCCUGCUACAGACUUCGGGAAGGAGGAGGAGCCUGCCGGCUCAGCGCCGACGCCCGGAAGGCAGACUCCUGCGUGGAAGCCACGGAGCCGCUGGCCCGGAGCCUGCUCCCUGCGGAAGCCCUGCAUCCCGGCAGGGACCCGGCGGCCGCCCAUGUUGACCACAGACCCUGUUUCCUCACUCGAGAGAAAGAACAAAACGCUGGGGCAGGAGACUUUGUCCUAUGCGCCCGGUCGCAGGCAGGGCCAGGGGAAGAUGGCCUCGGGGGCCCCGCCCUCGCCAGGGCAGCCGCCGACUGGCGAGGGGACAAAGCCCCUCUCAGGCCUUGCGGAUUCCCUCUCUGGACUCUGGACGUGGUUUACUCACCCCUUCCCUGCGCCCUGCCCCAGCCCCAGCCCCCAGCCCCCAGCCCUGGCCCCUUGGCCACCCCUGGCCACCCCUGGCCACCGGCGCCCAGGGCCCGCGGCUCGGUGAUUGGGAUUCUCAGCAGCGUUUGCAUUGUCAGGGAGGAGUGUGGGGAGCACGGAAGUCCAAAGGUGCUAAUGGGCGAGGGCGCUGGGGCACCGUGACAGCCGAGCCCCCGUGUCCUCACGCCGGGGGAGCCCUCCGGGGCCCGUUCAGGGUGCAGCCUGGCUGUCACAAAGCUUUCUUUGAGCGAAUUAUUUUUUCACUUUAGGAAACUUGUACGAGUUUGUUCCUUGUUUCAAAUGUGUGUGUGAUGUGCUGUUUAUUUAUCAGCCUGGGGGCCGUGGGGGCGGCCUUGUCGCUGGAAGGGGGGCUGUGGGGACACAUCCUCCACCCGCCGGGAGCCUGGUCCGCUCCUGGGAAUGCUGCUGCUGCCGCCGCCGCUACUGCCGCCACCGCCACCAUUUGGCGCCUCUCGUAUGCCCCGGGCGCACUCUGCCCACACUCGCGUCUGGCCGGACGUGGCCACAGCAGUGAGAUCCCAGAGCCCCAGGCCGCGCUGCCUGCCCCCACCUCAAUGUGAAUCUGACCGCGAAUGAGGAGCGUUUCUAAUAAAGUCUGUCCACGGUCCCCCGCCGUCCA
ensembl:lncRNA